UUUCUCCAGCUGUCAGUAGGUCUACUCUAGAACUUUCUCCAGCUGUCAGUAGGUCUACUCUAGAACUUUCUCCAGUUGUCGGUAGGUCUACUCUAGAACUUUCUCCAGUUGUCGGUAGGUCUACUCUAGAACUUUCUCCAGGUGUCGGUAGGUCUACUCUAGAACUUUCUCCAGUUGUCGGUAGGUCUACUCUAGAACUUUCUCCAGUUGUCGGUAGGUCUACUCUAGAACUUUCUCCAGUUGUCGGUAGGUCUACUCUAGAACUUUCUCCAGUUGUCGGUAGGUCUACUCUAGAACUUUCUCCAGUUGUCGGUAGGUCUACUCUAGAACUUUCUCCAGUUGUCGAUAGGUCUACUCUAGAACUUUCUCCAG